rnacentral:rRNA from 1 species
AACGUACGCUGGCGGCACGCCUAACACAUGCAAGUCGAACGAAGUAGCAAUACUUAGUGGCAGACGGGUGAGUAACAUGUGGGUAUCUGCCCUUUGGCCUGGAAUAACACGAGGAAACUUGUGCUAAUACCGGAUAAGUCUUUACGGAGAAAGCUUUAUGCACCAUUGGAUGAGCCCGCACUUGAUUAGUUUGUUGGUGGGGUAAUGGCCUACCAAGACUGUGAUCAAUAGCUGAUUUGAGAGGAUGAUCAGCCACAUUGGGACUGAGACACGGCCCAAACUCCUACGGGAGGCAGCAGUGGGGAAUCUUGCACAAUGGAGGAAACUCUGAUGCAGCGAUGCCGCGUGAGUGAAGAAGGCCCUUGGGUUGUAAAGCUCUUUCGUCGGGGAAGAAAAUGACUGUACCCGAAUAAGAAGGUCCGGCUAACUUCGUGCCAGCAGCCGCGGUAAUACGAAGGGACCUAGCGUAGUUCGGAAUUACUGGGCUUAAAGAGUUCGUAGGUGGUUGAAAAAGUUAGUGGUGAAAUCCCAGAGCUUAACUCUGGAACUGCCAUUAAAACUUUUCAGCUAGAGUAUGAUAGAGGAAAGCAGAAUUUCUAGUGUAGAGGUGAAAUUCGUAGAUAUUAGAAAGAAUACCAAUUGCGAAGGCAGCUUUCUGGAUCAUUACUGACACUGAGGAACGAAAGCAUGGGUAGCGAAGAGGAUUAGAUACCCUCGUAGUCCAUGCCGUAAACGAUGUGUGUUAGACGUUGGAAAUUUAUUUUCAGUGUCGCAGCGAAAGCGAUAAACACACCGCCUGGGGAGUACGACCGCAAGGUUAAAACUCAAAUGAAUUGACGGGGACCCGCACAAGUAGUGGAGCAUGUGGUUUAAUUCGAAGAUACGCGCAGAACCUUACCAACACUUGACAUGUUCGUCGCGACUCUAAGAGAUUAGAGUUUUCGGUUCGGCCGGACGAAACACAGGUGCUGCAUGGCUGUCGUCAGCUCGUGUCGUGAGAUGUUGGGUUAAGUCCCGCAACGAGCGCAACUCUCACUUUUAGUUGCCAUCAUUAAGUUGGGCACUCUGAAAGAACUGCCAGUGAUAAGCUGGAGGAAGGUGGGGAUGACGUCAAGUCCUCAUGGCCCUUACGUGUUGGGCUACACACGUGCUACAAUGGUAUCUACAACAGGAAGCAAGACUGCGAGGUCAAGCAAAUCCUUAAAAGAUACCUCAGUUCGGAUUGCACUCUGCAACUCGAGUGCAUGAAGCUGGAAUUACUAGUAAUCGUGGAUCAGCGUGCCACGGUGAAUGCGUUCCCGGGUCUUGUACACACCGCCCGUCACACCAUGGGAGUUGGUUCUACCUUAAGGCAAGGUUUCAAACCCUUGACCACGGUAUAGUCAGCGACUGGGGUG